AGCAGCGACUAAAUGAUUUUGAAAUUGUAAUGACUGAAGCAUCAUGCACAGGAGUCCAUCAAAGUUCUGAAGAAAUGCAAGCUGUCACACCCAAAAUCCCUAACCUGUGAGUGGGACAUGGUGUGGAUGGCGUGGGCACCAAGGGGACAUGGAACUUCUCCUACCCAGCACCAACAACAAACGAGGCAAGGACCGGAACAGGAGUUAUGGCAGGAAGAGAAAACCCAAUAACGGUGAAUAAGUCAGGGCUGGAGAGACAGGUCAGGAGAUAAAAACACACUUGCCGGGCAAGCCUGAUAGGCUGAGUUUAGAUUCCCAGAACCCAGGCUUUAAAAACAAAAAGCCAGAGGCAGCAAUGCAAAUGCCUCUAAGCCUGGUGCAAGCAUUUCAGAUUUAAGGCAGAGACGGGAGAGGCUCUGACCCUCACAGGCCAGCUAGCUUGGUGUACGCAGUGGGAAACAAAAGAGACUUUGCCUCAACCAGGGCGGAAAGCUGAGGGCCAACAUCUGAAAUUAUCCUCGGAUCUGUAUAUCACAUUAUAACAUACCCACGCCCACAACCAUAGGCGCGCACACACCAACAGCAAAACACUAGUUGGCUAAAAUUAAAUCAGUCCAUUAGGUUGGUCACCAUGGGUUUUGGGGCUUCAUGUGGCCUAUUGAUUGCCUCCUCUGAUGGUAAGUUCCUCCCUUCAGGUACCAUCUUUGUCUCAUCCCACUCUACUGUGCCGGCCCCAGGAUCAAGAUGUCCUUCCACGCUUAUCCGGAGUCACAGGGGGGAUCUUCACAGUCAGAAAACGUAACUACCAAGAUACAGCUGUGGCUUCCUAGGUUACUUCCCAUCUAACUCUCAGCCUACAGAGUCAGGAUGUCCCUAACCUCAAAGGAGGUGGAUGUACAUAGCAGCGGCUUCUCUCCCCAUUCCCACUGUCUGCCUGGCUACCUACUCCUGCAAAUAUGCUCCCCCCCAAUCACCUUUUCCAUGCAAGACAGCUCUACUCUUGAGUUGCUCAGGUCAGAAACAGAGGCAUCAUCUUCCUUUUUCUUCUAUCCUUCAUAGUCCACAUCCAAUCCAUCAAUAAAUGCUGUUCUUUCUAUAGCUCAAAUGUGUUCUGAAUCUAAGCAUCCCCCCUCUCCCAUCGCCUCCUGAUCACCAUCGCCUCAGUCCUGCAGCUAUGAGCCGAAUGUCUGUGUCGUCCUGGAAUUCACGUCCUGAAAUCCAUCCUUCAAGUCCAAAGGUGGUUAGACAUGUGCACCGUCUGUUAUAAGCUCUUCCCUCACCAGCAGUGCCUCCUUACUAUGUAAUUACGUAGCGGAAGGAGAAAGGAAAAAAAUCCCCUUCAAGUGUCUUUAAAGGAACACUAGGGACACUAAUCCCGUUCCUAAAGAUGGAGCCCCAGCAGACUAACCAAGGAACAAUGAGAAAUAAAUCUCUAUUCUUUAUCAAUUACACAGCCUACGAUAUUUUGUGAUAGCCACGGGAACAAAUUAAGAAGUCUCGAGUUAUUUCAGUAACAUCGUAACUGCUCUUGCUACAUGUACAGUCCCCACAUCAACCAUCGCAGCCUCUUCACAGAGUAUCUUAACAUAGAGUUCGUUACCUCUGCACAUCAAACAACGCCUGAAGUUCUGACAACUCCCCAGAAAGCCCUAGCUCACCUCCAUCCCAGCCCACUCACGACCUCUCUGAUCUGCUCCGCAUUCCUCUAGCUCACUGGGGUGUCCCAGCCACCCUGGGAGCUGCACGGUUUACCAGUGAGAAGCGCUCUGUUCCGGCGUCCGUGCUCCUGCAGCGCCCUCUGCUGGGCUCUCUCUAUCCUGCAGGAUCCGGGUGGCUCCAUUUCUCUUGUCUCUUCUAAGAUGUCACGGCAACUUCCUUACGCCACUCUCUGUGGCCUUGGCCUGCUUCAUUUUUUCUGCAUAGCAAUCAUCACGAGUUGCUAUCUGCUGGUUGCUUGAUUCCUCCCGUGUUAUAUACCCUUUAUAUCUUGGCAGAAGUUCACUGUCAUUGCCCGUCCCCAGUAGCUAAGAAAAUGCAAGCCCAAGAUGGUAAAUCCGACAAGCCUUUGAAUGACCAUCAAGACGUCUAACUGCAAUGACAGCGUCCUGAGGUCCCUCGACUUGACACGGCAGCCUUUCUCGGCCUCACGGUGUGGAGAACACCUUUAGGGACGGCUCGGCUACAUUUACAGGCUUACUCAUGAUGUGAAGAAUUUUAGAAAGAAAAACGUUUCAAAUACGCUUUAUAAAGGAAUGAUUAUAUCCACCCAGGAAGGUCUCUGGCUGUGGGAGAAAGCUUACUAAGGACUAAGAGAACAAAGGCUCGCCCCUGAGUCAGGUAGCCCGGAGUACUUGGCGAGCAUGGCGGCCCUGAGACACAUGAAAAAGGAUUGAUGGACUAUUUCACAAGUGUUUUUAAGUAGGAAGAUUUAGCACAUAACUGACUGUAAAACAUUUGUUUGAAAAGUGAAGAAAAAGGACAUUAUUUUUCUGUCCCUUUAGUAGUUAGAAAUGUUUGGAGAUAAGCGUAGUAUUUAAAUCUUUGGGAUGUGUAAAUUGUAUUCAACAGCAUUUUUAGACACGGCAUUAGGAAUACUUUAAAGAGACUGUCUACUGCAUUAAUUUUAAUUAUGCUCUACCGGACUCACAAUGCUUUGAAAUGCUUAUAAAGUGCCCUCAAGAUCUUUUAUUAAUCAAAAUACAAGCACCAAGCUCAGACGCGGCUCUCGACUCUGGGUGGCAACGGCUUGCCUGAGAGCGCCACCUGCUGUUUCCAGUGCGUACUGUAAAUAACGUUUUUUGGACUUUAGCGGUCGUGGCUAGAACAAAGACAGUUUCUUAGGGACGGGUCAACACGCAAUCGCGUUACUUUAAAAGCGGCGUUUCCUCCUGAGGUCUGGAAGACCACGCUGGUGCCGAUACCUGGAGGGCUCCUUUAGAAGCAAGGACUUUUGAAGAUCACUGCUGGCCUCCUGGAAGAGAUUUUACUUCUUACACCGUCUAAAUGCCCUGGUAACUUUUCACACAGAGCUCAGGAGUCACAUUUGACCUCCAGCCAUUUCUAAGGUCAGAAGAACUGUAUUAAAAAAGCCUCUCAUCCCUAAUGUUAAUUUAACACUACGUAAUGGAUAUCUAAGGUCCUUGAUAGAUGUGCAAAUUAACAAUUAUGCCACUGCACCCCGCUGUUAAUGCUAUCAACAUUGCUCCAGAAACUCCGUUUGGGCUUGUGGCAGUCUUCUGUUCCUGAAGCUUGAGAUGGUCCUGAGGUCUGGGUGGCUUGUGACUUAAAGACCCCAGCAGUAUGACCCACACACACUAGCCAGCCUUCAAGGCGGGAGGAGGGAUGCCUUGGACCCUUCACUGGAUUUCUUUUGUGAUAUGAAUAUGCAUUCAGUUCAUUUGCAUCCACUGUGAACUCUUGAUGGGCAGGAGGCCAUAAAGCACCUCAGAGAAAAAGAUGGGAUUAACCCACCUCUUUUCCGGCAUCACUACUCGCCGGUCUCCAUAUUCGUCCCAAGCAGACGGAAGAGAAAGUGUGCCUACUCCAGAAGACAGGGAAAGAGGGUGUGAUUGCUAUAAAACACGCACUCGCGACCAUCAGCCACGAGCCUCGAGCAAACAUUGUGAGUGACGUAUCCCACGGAGUUAAACUAGAGCGCUGUAAUCCAUUGACGUUGAAUGUUGUUUGCUGUGCCUCCACAGUAACAGAAGAACAAUAAAAUCUGAUUGAUACAAACCAUC